AUUGAACGCUGGCGGCGUGCCUAAUACAUGCAAGUCGAGCGGACCUUCGGGGUUAGCGGCGGACGGGUGAGUAACACGCGGGUAAUCUGCCCAACUGACUGGAAUAACGCCUGGAAACGGUGCUAAUGCCGGAUAGGCAACUGGUAGGCAUCUACCGGUUGGGAAAGGUGCAACUGCACCGCAGAUGGAGGAGCCCGCGGCGCAUUAGCUAGUUGGUGGGGUAACGGCCUACCAAGGCGACGAUGCGUAGCCGACCUGAGAGGGUGGACGGCCACACUGGGACUGAGACACGGCCCAGACUCCUACGGGAGGCAGCAGUAGGGAAUCUUCCGCAAUGGGCGCAAGCCUGACGGAGCAACGCCGCGUGAGCGAAGAAGGCCUUCGGGUUGUAAAGCUCAGUCACUCGGGAAGAGCGGACGAGGGAGUGGAAAGCCCUCGUCGAGACGGUACCGAGAGAGGAAGCCCCGGCUAACUACGUG
rnacentral:rRNA from 1 species